rnacentral:rRNA from 1 species
AGCGAACGCUGGCGGCAGGCCUAACACAUGCAAGUCGAGCGCCGUAGCAAUACGGAGCGGCAGACGGGAGAGUAACACGUGGGAACGUACCCUUUGGUUCGGAACAACCCAGGGAAACUUGGGCUAAUACCGGAUAAGCCCUUACGGGGAAAGAUUUAUCGCCGAAGGAUCGGCCCGCGUCUGAUUAGCUAGUUGGUGGGGUAACGGCCCACCAAGGCGACGAUCAGUAGCUGGUCUGAGAGGAUGAUCAGCCUCACUGGGACUGAGACACGGCCCAGACUCCUACGGGAGGCAGCAGUGGGGAAUAUUGGACAAUGGGCGCAAGCCUGAUCCAGCUAUGCCGCGUGGGUGAUGAAGGCCCUAGGGUUGUAAAGCCCUUUCGGCGGGGAAGAUAAUGACGGUACCCGCAGAAGAAGCCCCGGCUAACUUCGUGCCAGCAGCCGCAGUAAAAC